AUUGAAUUCAAAUCACCACCAUUGUCCUUGGAAGAACAGGCACCAUCAGAUUUGUGAUUGUGAUGAUCAUGAUCAUGAUCAUUGUCAUCAUCGCUGCAGUCCUCGUCAAAGGGCUUGUCCUUGUGGAAGAUGCAACACUUUUUGGAGCUUUUCUUCUUCAUGAACUCAUUGUCGACAGUGCCCUCUUUCCAAGUAACCUUCUUCUUCUUCCGAUUUACUCCCUCCUUAGCCUUACUUCCUCCUCCCACACCCCCAUCCGAACAGACAUUUAGUCGCAAAACUAGGGUUUGUGGUUGCUGUUGUUGGGCAGGGUUUUCCAUGGUGACUGUGGUGGUGACAGUGGAAGAAGACAUUGAUGUUGGUCGCAUCAUGGCAGUGUGGGUUGUGGUGGUGCUCGUAGGUUGAACCAUCAUUCAACUGGUUGUGAAUUGCAAUGAUGAAUGCAGCAAACAGAAGAAAGCAAAAACCCGUAAGAAAUUGGUAUCUUAGAUAAAAGUCCGCUGCUCCAAAAAU
rnacentral:misc_RNA from 1 species